ACUCUAGAAAUUAGCUCUUUCGUGGACGAAGGGAGUAAUAGUUAAAAUUACUACUUGAGGAGAAACCUCCGGUAAUUACUAUGCAAACCUAUAAUAAUUGAUUAGGCGAAGAAGGGACGGCCAAGGAUAUAUGAAGUGAUUGGGAGGCACUUUCGUCGACUGUGGCCUUUGUUUGAAGGUGGUACUUGACUCGUUUCAUCUUGUGGAUAAGUGCAUGAACAUUCCCGCCGUAAGGCACUAUUUUUUCCUUUUUUUUUUGGCAAAUGCCAGCGUUUACACAAGUUAAGUUGGAAGACAACUUGUUACGUGGUCGAGUCGGUGUGAAUCCGUUUUACAUACCAAGCAGGAUAUGCCUACGAGUCAUUAACUUGGGUUUUUUUAUUUUUUAUAUCGUUAUUAUAUAAAAGAGACCUUUAUAUAAAAGUAGCGAAACUGUUAGUUGUUGUCUUGAAGCAACGAGUCAAAUGCGUCACUGUUGAUAAAUAAAAAGUGUCGGGCUGGGCUUAACAAAAUCCAUUAAUUUUGACUGAAAAUGGGUGUUGACAAAUGGGUGGUGUGUCAUGUGUCACUUUUUAUUUAUUUUUACCAAACUGGAGAGGCUUUUGGAGCCCCUACGUCACUUUUUAUACGUCAUCAGCAAUAUGGCUAUAGCACUUGUCAGGUCACAAGUGAUGUUGCUUAGUGACGGGCUUUAGUUGCAGCUCGUUACUAUUCCUUUUUUGAGGGAAUGUCCUUCGAUGAGCUUUAUUAAUUCGUAAGAAUAGUUACGUCAUUCUUUAGGAAUUCAAGAAUACACGAGUAGACACAUUGGAUUGUAAUUCUAAUUGAGAAACAUCUUUAGUCCCGGUUUUUCCAACUGGAAUUGGGAAUCCGAGACUAAAGGUCUAAGCUUUUAGUCCCGAGUCAUGCAACUAGAAUUAAAACUCAUCUUGGGAACUAAAAAAUAAUUUAAAUCCUGUAGACCUCCCUCUUGCGCGUGCGAAAUUCGAACCUAAGACUUCUUAUCUCGCACGUAUCUUUCUUACAAUGUCUUGG
rnacentral:lncRNA from 1 species